GGUCUAGAAAAUAUCAAAGAUACCCCUCUCAUCCCGCAGCCCUAACAAAUCGAUCCCCUUCUUCCUCCUCCCCCCCUCCCCCUUCUGCUGACGUACGCUGCGCCGCCGCCGGGCACGUCCGCCUCCUCUCUCCGUCCGGUCCAGUCGGGCGAGGAUUGGCGGUUCCUUCUCCUUGUGCUGGGAGCAUGGCGGAUGGGGGUAUUGUUGUAGCCAUUUGCCAGUUUGGUGGAGAAUUCACUUCUGGGCCCAAUGGUAAUCUGAUAUACACAGGAGGAGAAGCGCAUGCUGUUGAUGUCACUCGUGAUUUUUCCCUGGAGAGCUUCAAGGAUGAGGUGUCCAAGGUGUUCCAUGUUGAUGUCACUGACAUGUCGCUCAAGUACUUUCUUCCGAAUAAUAACAAGACACUUAUCACAAUAUCUUGUGAUCGGGAUUUGCAAAGGAUGGUUGAUUUUACUAUCAGUGCCGCACAAGUGGAUGUUUUCCUGAUAAGUAGAGAAGAGAACAGGAGUAUUGUAACGCAUUCUGGAGCUACACCUGGCUCUAUUGCAAGUGGCGACAAAAGGAAAAGGCCAACGUCCAAAAACAAGGUAUCCAAGAGUAACAAGAAGACUACCAACGCUCCUGGCAAUGCUGUUCUAGCGAGCACCAAUAAUGUGGGACAACCAAUUUCAGUUGUUACUGAAAAUGAAGACAACAGGGGUUUUCAGUUGGAAUUUGGGAAUGACAUCGCAAUUACCACAACAGCUGGAGGUGCUUCCUUCACAACAGACUUUCUGGAUCAGCAAAAUCUUGCUUUUGUGGAUGAUAUCCCUAGGGAAGCAGUUAGUAUGUUUGAUGAUGCAAUCGAUCCGUAUGUUGGUUCCGAGAUCAUGGAAGAGCCUCCCCAGGGACUUAACAAUCCUAUUGUGUUGUGGGAUGACAUUAUCAAAGGAGUUGGUCAAGAAUUUGAUAAUGUGAAGGACUUCCGUGCUCAGUUGUGCAAGUAUGCCAUUGUGAAAGGAUUUGUAUACCGAUUCAUAAAAAAUGAAACCACUCGCGUCACUGUAAAAUGUGCUGCGGAGGGGGGUUGCACCUGGCGGUUGCAUGCAUCCGAAUCAUCUCGUAACAAGAAGUUUGUUAUCAAGAAAAUGACAGAUGAACAUACUUGUGGAGGAGGAAGUGGAGAGGGUCAGCGUCGAGCAACAAGGCAAUGGCUGACUACUAUCAUUAAGGAGAAGUUACAUGAGAACCCAAUGUUUAAGCCAAAGGACCUUGUAAAGGAAUUAUAUGAAGAAUACGGAGUUACUCUAACAUAUUCACAGGUUUGGCGAGGUAAAGAAGUAGCGCAGAAAGAGCUGUAUCACGCUAUCAGGGAGACUCACAGUCAUUUACCCUUGUAUUGUCAGAGGCUUGAAGAGACCAACCCAGGGAGUAUAAGUGUUUUAUCUCCAGUGGUGGAUACCAAAUUUCGUCGCUUUUUUGUCGCAUUCCAUGCUUGUUUGCAUGGCUUUGUAAAUGGCUGCAGACCUCUCUUAUUUCUGGACAAGGUCCCGCUGAAAGCCACAAACGAGUUCAAGUUGCUUGUGGCUGCUGCAGUUGAUGCAGAUGAUGGUGUAUUUCCGGUGGCAUUUAAUGUGGUUGAAGAUGAAAAUUAUGAUAGCUGGGGUUGGUUCUUAAUGCAGCUGAAAAUGGCUCUCGAAACUCACAACUACCCUUGCCAUGCCAUGACAUUCUUGUCCAGUGGACAAAAGGGUCUGGAUGCUGCUGUCUGUCAAGUGUUUGAGGAUAGCCAGCAUGCCUUCUGUUUGCAUCAUAUCAUGGAGGAAUUCAAAGGAGAGCUGAGGAAAGGACCGUGGUCACAACAAAUAAGGGAGGGGAUGGUGGAGGAUUUUACUCGUGCAGCCCAAGCAUGCAACAUCAAGGAUUUUAAUGUGUCCAUAGAAAGCAUAAGGAAUAUAUCCAGUGAAGCUGCUGACUGGAUCAUUGCAAGGAAGCCAGAGCAUUGGUCGGAUGCCUUCUUCAAAGGCUGUCGGUAUGAUCAUUUCUCCCUGAACGUUGUUGAUGCCUUCAAUAACUGGAUACCAACCAAGAAGGAGAGUUCCAUAGUGCUGAUGACAGACUCAUUGAGAAUGAAAAUUAAGGAAGUGGUAGAGUCAAGGCGUGAAGCUUGCAAUGCGUGGGAAGGGCCUUUAACACCCACGAUGGAAUACAAAGUGCAGGAUGAGAUGUUGAAGGCUGGUAAGAUGAAUGUGCUGUGCUCCUCCGAGUCUGUUUUUGAAGUGAGGGGCAAUGGAAUUUUUGUCGUUAAUCUUGCAGUUCGUGAGUGCACGUGCAAUAGGUGGCAACUCUCUGGCCUCCCCUGCAUGCAUGCCGUUGCUGUGUUCAACAGGCUUGGGCGCUCUUGCUAUGACUUCUGCUCAAAUUUUUUUAGAAUCGACUACUACCGGCUAACGUACUCAGGUACAAUCUUCCCAAUACCUGACAUGGAUGGCUUCGAUUUUAGUGCUGGGGCGAAUGAAAUGCCACCUCCCAAGCAACGUACAUCAGACAAACCAAGAAGGAAGCGAUCUAACCCCAACAAGACAAGCACUCUUAUACGACUCUGCAGCAGGUGCAAGCAAACAGGCCACAACAAGGCAACCUGUGAAGUUGAGUUUGUAAACAAAAGCAACCUCUUGAUGUCGACUCUCUAGCUUGUACAGCUCGUCAGCAGUGUCAAAGGCCAGAAGCUUCGAUAUAGUGCACAGCUGCGGAGAACAUGGUGGUCUGUUUCUCCCAUGGAUGAAUUGUGUGUGGCUAAGCAAAGCCUUCUCAUUGCUGUGAUUCUUGCUGGGAAUCGCAGUUUCUUGGUUGGAAGACUUGAAGCACUGAAGACCUGAAGAAAGAAAUGAUUUCUUGUAUAUCCUAAAGUUGAGGUGAUCCCUAUUUGUUGUAUCCAAGUCCAGACUUGAAGCACUGAAGAAAGAAAUCAACAAUUCGGUAUUUCCAUCCAAGACCCGGUGCAGAGGCUGGAACCUUCUUUUUUUUUUCCAUUUUCCAAAUUAAAGAAGAUAAAUACACAUUAGACAGAUAAAGCAAACUAGUUUUAUAUAUUCAUCACUCUGGACCGAUCAUUACAGACACACAUGCACACCUGCAGAGAUGCAAUUCUGCAUGGUUUAUUUGCAACGAUCAACACACACACACACAUACAGGACGGACGCCAAGCAAGCACAAG